CAAACAGUUUAAUUAAUUAAAACUGUUUUUUAAUGAUUUUUGGGUAAACAAAGUGUAACGUCAAGUUACAUUAAAAGGUGCAAUUGCGAUCAAUUAAUUUCCUACUCGAAUGACGAUACAUCAGUUAAGAAAACUCUUCAGCUACUUGGGAAUAGCUCGCCGUGAUCUGGAUUUUCAAGAUCUGGAAACGUAUUUAAUCAUAAACGAAACACAUCGGUGGUUUGCAAUAAAUACGUGAGCCGCAGCAGCAGCAGUAGCAGCAGCAGCAGCAGUUGGAGAAAGUUUUAACGAACAUUUUAAAAUGUCACCCACCGCCUGCCGCGUUUCCAUUCAAAGAAUCGAAUAAGAUCCAAAUCUAGUCCAAUUAUACAAACGGGAGCUUAGAUUUAAUAUAAUACAAAUUAUAACUAGUUAUAAUUAUUAAUUUAUUUAAAUUAUCAGUUAUAAUACAUUCGAAUAAUUAUUAUAAUUAUUUUAAUCGUUGCACGUUUAAAUAAUAAUUUGAAAAAAAAUUCACUAGAAAGUUAAAGGUAAAAUACGUUUUAUCUCGCGGAAGACAAGUGUAUAAUAUAAAAAGGUAGUUUUUAAUCAUGCUGCACGGUUUUAAUAUGGUCAAAUAUCAUAGUGAUCCUAUCAUGCUGGAAUAUUUUCUUAAAAAGUGUACAAUGUUUGGUUGUUUGUACACUGGUGUGAGGACCAAGAUGACGAAACUUGCAACGCUUUUAAUGACGAAUCACUAGCCAUAUCGGUGAGUAAUCGCCAAUCAUUUACCAUUUCUAGAUACAUAAACUUGCAUUUCGAUGACGUAAUUGCAACGAUAUUUCGUUUUAGGUUAAUUGAUUCCCGUCUGAAUAUUCAGCGUAUAAUAAUAUUUAGCGUUAUUUAGUAGAUUAUCUCUGGAUAUGUAUGUAUGUAUGAAUAUACAUGUAGUUUGUUUGGAAUAGCCAGAUAGCCUUUUUCAUAAAAUAAAAAGAAUUAUCCAUCUAUCGUUUUACUGUUAUGACCACGAGUAUGAGUAGUAUUAAACUACGUCGCGUUUCUUGCGCGACAAACUCGUCGCACAAUCAUGUCAUACUUAAUCUAUGUAGAUAUAUACAUACUCACUCGUACGUACAUACGUUGGACAGAGUAAAUCUUAGCGAAACUGUAUUUUCGUGUCGAUAAGAUUCGAUUGGAAAUAUGUAGACUAGAACUCGACUUGUACUCGCGUGAAUUCUCGACUUGAUUUGGAACUUGUGUGCCAACACACUGUAGUUUCGAACGUGCAGUUUAUAACAAAGUUGAGAAUACACUCGGCAACGUUCAAGAUUCGUUCUCUUCUAUCAUCGGUGAAACUGAAACGACAGGACAUGAUUAUAGCUAUACAUUUGGAGAGAAUUGGUGCUACUGUAUACAUAUGUAACUCUACUUCGUAGAACUCGAGAUUUACGGCUAACCGGUGCGGCGCGGCCCGGCCCGGCGAUACGAUGCCGAUGCAGCAAACUAUGUAUUAUCUAUACGUAUACAUAUAUCUAUGUAUGUAUAUGAUGUAUUCUCGCAUCAAUGAUAUUGCUUCGAUGAAUGUGACUUGUAGACACGAGGCACGAAAUUUACGGAAUUUAAAACAAUUGAUUCUACACGAUCCUACAUCUGCACACAUUCCAGUUGGAAACAGUGAUUGAUAUUGUACCGUGUAUAGUAGUAUUAUACAUAUAUGCGUUAAAAAUGAUACCUGUACCUUACAUACGUAACGUGUACUCGGAAUAAAAGUGGAUAGAUUUUGCAGAUUUCUAGGAAAGGAACAAUUGUGGAAGAUUUCAAUAAAAUUCGAGUCUUAAAUGCGGAUACUCACUCGUAGCUCUAAUGAAAAGCAUCGAGGUAUCGUGGACUAGACGAAAUAUCGAUGUUCUACGAGGUAUCA